CGCGUAGGCGGUCUUGUCGGUCAGAUGUGAAAGCCCAGGGCUCAACCCUGGACGUGCAUUUGAAACAGCAAGACUUGAGUACGGGAGAGGAAAGCGGAAUUCCUGGUGUAGAGGUGAAAUUCGUAGAUAUCAGGAGGAACACCGAUGGCGAAGGCAGCUUUCUGGAACGAUACUGACGCUGAGGCGCGAAGGCGUGGGUAGCGAACAGGAUUAGAUACCCUGGUAGUCC
rnacentral:rRNA from 1 species